rnacentral:rRNA from 1 species
UACACUCCUACGGGAGGCAGCAGUGGGGAAUAUUGGACAAUGGGCGCAAGCCUGAUCCAGCCAUGCCGCGUGAGUGAUGACGGCCCUAGGGUUGUAAAGCUCUUUCACCGGUGAAGAUAAUGACGGUAACCGGAGAAGAAGCCCCGGCUAACUUCGUGCCAGCAGCCGCGGUAAUACGAAGGGGGCUAGCGUUGUUCGGAUUUACUGGGCGUAAAGCGCACGUAGGCGGACUAUUAAGUCAGGGGUGAAAUCCCGGGGCUCAACCCCGGAACUGCCUUUGAUACUGGUAGUCUUGAGUUCGAGAUAGGUGAGUGGAAUUCCGAGUGUAGAGGUGAAAUUCGUAGAUAUUCGGAGGAACACCAGUGGCGAAGGCGGCUCACUGGCUCGAUACUGACGCUGAGGUGCGAAAGCGUGGGGAGCAAACAGGAUUAGAAACCCGUGUAGUCCCA